rnacentral:rRNA from 1 species
AUUGAACGCUGGCGGCAGGCCUAACACAUGCAAGUCGAGCGAGCGGCGGACGGGUGAGUAAUGUCUGGGAAACUGCGCGAUGGAGGGGGAUAACUACAGGAAAAGGUAGCUAAUACCGCACACCAUCAGAUGUGCGCAGAUGGGAUUAGCUAGUAGGUGGGGGAACGGCUCACCUAGGCGACGAUCACUAGCUGGUUUGAGAGGAUGACCAGCCACACUGGAACUGAGACACGGUCCAGACUCCUACGGGAGGCAGCAGUGGGGAAUAUUGCACAAUGGGGGAAAGCCUGAUGCAGCCAUGCCGCGUGUGUGAUGAAGGCCUUCGGGUUGUAAAGCACUUUCAGCGGGGAAGCGUUACCCGCAGAAUAAGCACCGGCUAACUCCGUGCCAGCAGCCGCGGUAAUAC